GACGAACGCUGGCGGCGUGCUUAACACAUGCAAGUCGAACGAUGAACCAGAGCUUGCUCUGGGAAUUAGUGGCGAACGGGUGAGUAACACGUGGGCAACCUGCCCCAGACACCGGGAUAACCAUUCGAAAGGAUGGCUAAUACCGGAUAUGACCACUUCGGGCAUCCGACGGUGGUGGAAAGGAUUCUGGUCUGGGAUGGGCCCGCGGCCUAUCAGCUUGUUGGUGGGGUAAUGGCCUACCAAGGCGACGACGGGUAGCCGGCCUGAGAGGGCGACCGGCCACACUGGGACUGAGACACGGCCCAGACUCCUACGGGAGGCAGCAGUGGGGAAUAUUGCGCAAUGGGCGAAAGCCUGACGCAGCGACGCCGCGUGAGGGACGAAGGGUCUUCGGAUUGUAAACCUCUUUCAGCAGGGACGAAGCGAAAGUGACUGUACCUGCAGAAGAAGCACCGGCUAACUACGUGCCAGCAG
rnacentral:rRNA from 1 species